GGUUAGACGAAGAAUCCGUAUAGAGUAAAUGUUAAGUUUAGUUGACGUUGAAUUUUUUGAGUUAUCUUAGUUUUUUGUCUGGGUGAAAUCAAUAUAAAAGGCUACUAUUUCUUUUAAAAUUUAGAGGAACUAAAAAACUCCGAGUUAAAAACCAGGAUUAGAUACCCUGUUAUUCCGAGCGAUAUCUAAAUAGGGUAGUAAAAGUUGUUCUUCAAACCCAAAGAUUUUGGCGGCACUUUAUCCAAAUAGAGGAGCUUGUCCUUUAAUCGAUAGUCCUCGUUAUAUCUUUCCUUUGCUUGUAGAGCUUGUAUACCGCCGUUGUCAGAUUACUUUUAGAGAAUGUUUUCAAAUCAGAGAAUUUUUUAACUUCAGGUCAAGGUGCAGCUUAUGUUAAGGUGGUGGUGAGCUACAAUUUUCUCUAGAAAGACGGAUACUAAUUUUUCAAGGUAGUUGAAGGUGGAUUUAUUAGUAAGUUAAUUUAAGUAAAAUUAGUUGAAUAAGGCAAUAAAGUGUGUACAUAUCGCCCGUCACUCUCUCCUUAAGGGGAGAUAAGUCGUAACAAA
rnacentral:rRNA from 1 species